rnacentral:lncRNA from 10 species
CGCAGCAUGCCUUCCCAGCCUCCUGUGGUUGUAGAGUGUAUAGAAGGCAGUUGGAUCACUAUGGACAGCGGGUAAGAGCUGAGGAAGCAGCCUCCGCCAGGUGGUAACAUGGAGGACCCUGAAGCAGGCCAAUUAAAUCAAGCAUAUUCCUCAGUAUCAUGGAGAGACUGGAGGUUAGAGACACCAAAACCAUCCCUGGCUUAAUGACUUUGGGAUCCCUGGGCCCCUCCAUGCAGCAGAACGGCAAUUAACCAAGCAAAGGAAGAGAGGGCAGCAGGGCUGAAUCCUGUCAUGGAAUGCUUCCAUCUGCAAGUGGCACAUUUCAGUGGCCAAAGCAAAUUAUGCCAUCCCUGACUUCAAGGUAAGGUAGAUGAAGUACAAUCUCUUUGAUGCCCAGAAGUGAAGAAAAACCAAACACCUGUCAGUAUAGCUGUACCUCCCAUGGCCUUCCACAGCCUCCCUCUCCUCCACCCUGGGUAGGGGUAGGAUUCGUAGCACAGCUUACUCCAAUAAAUUCUCUGCUAAAAUAUUUUUUUCCCCAAAUCCAACUCUUGACCUGCGCAUACACUGGAUGUGAAACUGAUGUUUACAACCUCCUUUGCAAAUUGUGCAUAUGGUCUACAACCUCCUUUGACAUAUGAGAGCUAUUGUCUUUUGGUGCCCUGGCUAACAAUUGCAUUUUAACAUUCUGUUAUAUAUUUGUUCAUGUUCUGUCUCCCCUAUCUGAACGAAGGCCCUUGAGAUCUGGGACUACAUCUGUCUUGUUUCUGGGACUGUCUGUUAGGCUGCGUGCCUAGCACGGCAUUGGACAUGUUGCAGAUUUUUCAGAGCUAUUCUGGACAGGAAGGAGGGACAGAGGAGAGAAGGAAGGAAGGAGGGAGACAGGGAGAGAAGGAAGGAGAGAGGAGGGAAAGAAAAGAAGG